CCUAUGGUCAAGUGGUUAAGACAUCGCCCUUUCACGGCGGUAUCGUGGGUUCGAAUCCCGCUAGGG
rnacentral:tRNA from 1 species